AUUGAACGCUGGCGGCAUGCCUUACACAUGCAAGUCGAACGGUAACAGGUUAAGCUGACGAGUGGCGAACGGGUGAGUAAUAUAUCGGAACGUGCCCAAUCGUGGGGGAUAACGCAGCGAAAGUUGUGCUAAUACCGCAUAAGAUCUACGGAUGAAAGCGGGGGAUCGCAAGACCUCGCGCGAGUGGAGCGGCCGAUAUCAGAUUAGCUAGUUGGUGGGUAAAGGCCCACCAAGGCGACGAUCUGUAGCUGGUCUGAGAGGACGACCAGCCACACUGGGACUGAGACACGGCCCAGACUCCUACGGGAGGCAGCAGUGGGGAAUUUUGGACAAUGGGCGCAAGCCUGAUCCAGCAAUGCCGCGUGCAGGAUGAAGGCCUUCGGGUUGUAAACUGCUUUUGUACUAGAGCGAAAAGGUCUCUUCUAAUACAGGAGGCUCAUGACGGUACUGUAAGAAUAAGCACCGGCUAACUACGUGCC
rnacentral:rRNA from 1 species